CACGCCUAACACAUGCAAGUCGAACGAGAUCUUCGGAUCUAGUGGCGCACGGGUGCGUAACGCGUGGGAAUCUGCCCUUGGGUUCGGAAUUUAUCGCCCAAAUGACUGCUAAUACCGGAUGAAGUCUACGGACCAAAGAUUUAUCGCCCAGGGAUGAGCCCGCGUAGGAUUAGCUAGUUGGUGGGGUAAAGGCCUACCAAGGCGACGAUCCUUAGCUGGUCUGAGAGGAUGAUCAGCCACACUGGGACUGAGACACGGCCCAGACUCCUACGGGAGGCAGCAGUGGGGAAUAUUGGACAAUGGGGGCAACCCUGAUCCAGCAAUGCCGCGUGAGUGAUGAACGCCUUCGGGUCGUCAAGCUCUCUUACCCGGGAU
rnacentral:rRNA from 1 species